UAUGUGAUCUAUUUUUAUGCUAGUUGUUAGGAAAUGAAUGCUAAGUGAAAAACUAGAAGAUAUGAUAAGAGCUUGUAGGUAGUGUAAUAACCAAACCGAAUGGUUGGAAAUCGGGGCCUCGAGCUGGCGUAUACGAGGCAUCGAGGUCUAGUCGGAUGCCCGACUUAGGGCAAUUAAGGGAGGAUUAAUAGUUAUGAGAGUUGCGGUGGUGGCUCGUUAUGAUCAAUAAUGAGCAAUAACUGAAGAACAAUAAAUAGAACACGAUGAAUAUAAGCAAUAAAUGUAAGUAAUGAAAUCAAGAGAAUAUGUUAAGUUAGAAAGUAGAGGUAAUGUCCUUGUAUAUUCAAUAUUGUGUAUCAGAUGUCCUACAAAAUAACAAGGGUCGCCUUUAUAUAUGAGGGGAAAUCCCAACAUAGUACAAAUGCAUUUAUUACAAAGGUACAUGGUAGGUAUAUCCAUUCAAUGCCAUAGUAUAGACUUGAACUAGCCAAAUAGACUUGGUCAGCUUUAGUCACAUGCCUUGGGAACUUCCCACUUUUUCACCAUAACUAUCUACCUGCACUGCCCCGAGGUUGGAUGUCGAUAACCCCUCGGGUGUAAAUCUUGGCCAUGGCCUCGAGCCUUUGGAAACAUGCUUAUGAAGCGUCAUAAUGACAAAAAAUUGGACCCUCUGAUUUUACCGUAUACAGAUAGUCCCCGCGUUUCUUAGAGUGAAACGAUAAGAAAGGACUAUGAUAUCUAUCUCCUCUAACUUCCUGCGAUGAUUUCAUCCUUAUGACAUAAGCCUCUGUGAUAACUGAGGCAUCUCGUCUGUUCAUCUUUCCAGAAUCAUUCAAUAUACUGCUGUUUUAUAUUCUCCAAAGCGAUAGUAUCGUUUUCGGUCCAUUUCCUAAAACGCAUUGAUUGCACCUGUCGGUACGUUUUUGAAAGGCAUAGAUUGCGCCGUUGGUUAUGCUUCCACCCUUUUUAUAAAUGGAAGCUUUCUUGAAUCAAAACUUUAUUCAAAUGCUCUUCAACAACCUUUUACCCCUUUCUUCCCUUCAUCCUCAUCCAACACUAUUUCCCAUGUUUGAAGCACGUGGCUAUAAGGUCAUACGACAGUGUUCUCAUCAGUUAUGCCAUGGCCCUUUCCUAGAGCUUUCCCCUACUGAGUGGGAUUGCACUGGUUUGUUUUUGUUGUUGUUGUUGGCCCGAAAUAAUGAGAGAAAUCUCAAAUUAUAUCAGUAUUAAAAGAUAUGCAGACUAUGAACUUAUACUCAUCUCUCUUAACUACCCGGUGCGGAGCAUCACUCCUUUUGCUUUCUGUGGAGUAAGAUGGUUCCAUCUACUAACUGUUGCUUCCCGCACCGGUGCAACGUCUCAAGAAGUGGCUUCACAAUAGUGGCGUUGGCAAGACCCAUACUCGCCAAAUUUUUCACAUAGUCACUUCUUCAUCUUUUUCUGCUUCUUCUUCAUCGUUUUCUACUUCUUCCUCAUCCUUGAAGAUGCCAUUUGGAAAGUCGAGGUGAGGCCCCGAAGAAAUGAUUCUCGAAAGCAUUGCUCCCGAGGAGGUACCCUCGAGAGUAGAUUAGACUUUUAGCUAUUACUUUUGCUUCUUUGUUUCUGUGUAAGGACCCUUCAUAGUCUUUUGUAAUCAUGUGUAAGGUCAUUUCAUGGGCUUAUUGUAAUCAUUGUUUAUUAAUGCAAAGAAGUUUCUUCAAUCUGUCUCUGAUUUAUGCUGGAUUUUCUUUUAUUUGUGUUUAUGAAGAAUCUGAGUGCAUGACUAUACCGAUCGGUCCGAAUACUGGGCCCAGGUAUAGGUAUUUCCCCGGCUCCUAAUUGGUUAAUACAAUAUCCCGUGGAUCCCUUCGUCGCUCCUUGGACUGAUCCCGGGUUGGAUUGAUACAAGCUUAGGCUACCGGGAACCCCGAGUGAGAAUAGAGCUUUGAAUUUAUAGAACGAAAUUAAACCUUUCAUACCCCGUCGAUAGUCCUCGAAAGGGAACUUGCUUAGACAUCUAAGAAUAAAGAUAGCAUUUAGGCUUUUGAAAGCAGUCCCUGAGUGAGAGUUUGCUCAAGCUCAGGCGACCUGAAAACUUGUUUUGAACUUAGAGCGAAGAUAGCCUUAAGGCGUUACAGAUAGAUCGCGGACGAGGGUUCGAAUUGCCCGUAGAUUAAAGUAACCGAGAGGACAUUUAACUCUACCCGAAGGAGAGAAAUAGCCCUAAGGCUUUAUUAGUAGUUUUCGAGCAAAAAUUGGCUCCGGCUCAGGUAGCUAGAGGGUCGGAGGAUAGGGUAAAUGACCCGCACUUGCAAUAGCAGAAAUGUUUACCGUGAAAUGGUACUAACAAUUAAAUUUGAUUUUGGGAUUCUAAAAAUACGUGAUCUAUUUUUCCGCUAGUUUGUUAAGCAGUUGAUGCUAUGUGUUAUGUUUAGAAACGGGAUAAGAGCAAGGAGCGAAGUGAUAACCAAACCGAUAGGCCAAUUAUUGGGGCCUCGAGCUUGCCGAUUCGGGGCCUCGAGAUCGAUUCCGGAGCUCGACAGGGAGCUAUCGAAGGGGGUCGGAAUACGGCUAACAGUUAUAGUAAAAUUAACGUAGGCUCUUUAUGAUCAAUGAUAAGAAAUAAAUGAAGAACAACUAUGAAGAUACUAAAUGAAAGCAAUAAUAUCAAGAGAGUAUGUUAGAGAGCAAGUAGAAUAUUCUUGUAUAUUUCGUGUGGAGCAACUGAAAAAACAUCCCCUUACAAGGUGAGAAGGAUUCUCUUUAUAUAGGAAGGGAAUCCCAUCAUAGUACAACAAGCAUUAAUUACAAAGAUACGGAGAUGUGACAACUAGAGGACACCCUGAUUCGGGUCUUAAACAAGUCCACUACACUUUGUCAGUCCUAGUCGUAUUCCUAGGGAGCUUCCCAUUCCUACCAUCGCCGAGGUCCUCGUUAUCCAUAGUUCAAGUGUCGAUAACCCUCGAGGGAGGGUACUUGGUCCAUGGUCUCGAGCGUUCGAGGUGAUUUUCUAAGAUGACUUAACAACGACAAAUUGGCCUCUUCGAUUUCUCCGUAUACAAAUAAUCCCCACGUUUCUUAGGGAGAAGCGACAAGAAACGAUUUUGACAUUCGACUCUUCGGGCUUCCUAUGAUGGCGUCAUACUAAUGGUAUCAACUUGUGACAUAAGCCUUUGCGAUAACUGGGGCGUAUCAUGGACUUAUUUUUUCAACGCCAUUCAAUACGAUGCCGAUUCCCAUUUUUUAGAGCGACAUUACCACCAUCAACUCGGUGUCCAAUAACGCAUUGAUUGCGCCUGUCGAUCCAUCUUUCAAAGGCAUUGAUGGCAUUGUUGGUCAAAUUAUCAUCCCCUAUAAAUGGGGCCUUCCGGUAUUAUCUUUUUAUCCAAGUGCUUUUCAAUAUCUUUCCAUUCCUUUCUACCCAUUAUUCUCCUUCAUUGCUACAUACCAUGUUUGGGGUCCAUGGCCCUUUGCCUGGGCUUUUCAUCGUUGAGCGAGAUUAUACUAUCUCGUCGCUGUUGUUGUUGUUGUUAUGGUCAUCACUGCUAUCAUUGUUGGCUCGAGACGAUGAGAUAAGGAGGCUGAUCUCUUCCAUCUUGGGAAGGUGUUUGGACUAUACACCGCUACUCAUGAGGGUGCUCGGAUUAUACACCGCUGCUCACCUUCAUAUCCUGGUUCGGUGUGGCAUUUCGCCCCCAACCGGUAGCUUGCACGACUCAAUGUCCCAAGAAGUGGAUUCAAAGUAGUCGUGCAAGUAAGGCCAACACUUGCCAAGUCUCUUACCGGUUCGAGGUUCUCUUGGCCGAUGAGGGUCCUCGUCCUUUGGUGACUAUGGUGUUUUUUCAUCCCCUCCUGCUUCUCCACUUUCCUCCUCCUCAUCUUCUACAAUGAAGACACUGAUUUGGAAGACCGAGACAAGCCCCCUAGAGGCGGUGGUGGUAGAAGAUGCUUCCAAUUAGGAUGCAUACCCGAGGGGAUCACGCUCGAGAAUUGAUUAGACUCUAGGCUUCUCUUGCACAUGUACCUUCUUUGCUUUUUGGUUUCUGUGUAAGGAACCCCCACGGAUCUUGUAAUCAAGUUUUCUAAUUAUAAAGAUGUUUUCCUAGUUUUGUCUUUGAUGUUUGCUAUAUUUCCUUUUAUUUUCAUUUAUGGAGACUCUGAAUGCAUGAUUCUAUCGGCUAUUGUCAAUGUUGAACCCAAAUGCGGAUGUUAUUUGCUAUUUUCAAGUGGAAUGAAAGUAAUGCUUCGAGCCUUGAAACCGUGAUUUAUCACUUAGGCUCUUUUGUAAAUUUUGAGGAGAAAUUUGCUCGGAGGCCCGUGGAUAGGGACUGCCUUUGAUCUUUCAAGGGCAGUCCCCGAGUGGAGGUUCGUUCAAAUCCGGACCACCUGGAAACUUGCUUUGAUCUUAGUGUAAAUAGCCUUAAGGCACUAUAGAUAGAUCUUAAAAGAGGAUUUGUCCGAUCUCAGAUGGUGUCCCAGGGGCAAGCCCAUACGGGUGGAGCCUAAGUGCUUAUUUCCUUGGAGCCUAACCUCUUUUUGAUGGAGGUCCUUGAGAUCCGGUACCACCUCGGGACUGGUGAUGACACCGUUGGCUUUUUAGAGUCUGACUUCUCAUUGAUGAAGGUCCUCGAGGUCAGGUACCACGUCGGGACUGGCGAAGAUGACAUCGGUCAGUGUCCCUACACGGCUUUGAGGCAGGCGGAUCGUCGUCGUUUCUUCCAUGUAUAAAUAAGAUGUUUUAUACUCUUUUGGAGAUCUCACUAUUUUAAGAAAUUGCCCUUCUCUUUCUGUGUCAAACCUUUUAUUAUUUCAGUACUAAUGUACUUUCAUAGAUUCCCACUUUAGUUCUCUAAUUUUUCCAUAGCCAUGACUGCUGCAUUAGGGUCUACCUGGCAGAAAAGGGAAAGCUCUGCCUCCAACAUUAAGGACCAACGAGAGUAUGCCUUUAAGAUUGCUUCUUCGAUAAGAGAAAAACAUCUAGGGUUAGUGAGAAAAGACUGCAGAUGGAGGGGAAAGGUAGUGUUACAGAUACUUCCCCCAGGUGAGGGCAUCACGGAUUACGCCGAUGGAUUCUUCAAAGUGUACAUGUACCCUUUCACACUGGGCCCCCUUGACAGGGUCGUGCUCGACUUUUGUUUGAAGUAUCGGGUUACCUUGGUGCAACUCCAUCAGUCAUUUUGGAAAACAGUAUUUAUGGUGAUAUUUUUCGUGGAGAAGGCGGGGCUUAAAUUUACGCUCAGUCUUCUCAUUAGAUUGUACAACCCCUUUCACCAUCGAAUUCUGCUAACCUUGCAAUGUCGAUCUACCACGCCCUUCAUUGUUGAUGAUGAGGAAGAUAGAGACUGGGAGUGGAUGAGUCGCUUCAUUCGAGUGUGGACUAUUGACAUCAUCCCCAUGGAGCUUAUGCCAUUCUUUGAGGAAUGGAACUAUACACCGGUCUCGUGGGCGCCGAGCAACGUUCCUGAUUUGCUAGAUUGGGUUCGUAAGUUGGCGAUCUACUCGACCUGUGACGAGCAGAGAUGGUGAGUUUUGUCCUAAGGCAGAUAGGAAGUAAAAUAUCAUGGCAUCAGAGAACCUUAUGAGGUGAGGUCGGCUCCUUUGGAGAGGGGGAAGGGUUGCCAGCUUCCGGGCUAAAGAAUGACAACAAUAAGAUAGAGAUACUUUUACAGGGUGAUGGCGUUCAGGGUGAGGCAAAACGGGAUAGGGGCUUCGGAGCAAAAGCAUCAUCCAAGCCUGCCGCAUCCAUGGUUCCUGGCCCUAGAAAGGUGGUUUUUCCAUUGUUGUCUCCCUCUUUUUCCGCCGACACUACUUCAAGGAAUACUAGAAAUCUGGGGUCGCAUACACUGAGCGACCGUGCUUCGACUAGAGUUGACUCUUCCAAGGCUGAAGGAACUGGAUUGGUAGGUGUGCGCUCGGCCUUCGAGGAAGACUGGCAGCUUCACUUUGCGGUCUUCGACAAGCUUAAGUCCGGGCUGCUUCAUCACGAAGCCAGGCUGCGGAAAGCUCAUUCCUUAGGCUCCUUUGUGAUGAAAAGGAGGUCGAGUUGGUAUACUUGCGAUAUGAGGUAUGCCGGAGCUUGAAUUAUGAGUGCUACUUGAAGGAGCAGUUGUAGGAAAAGAAGCAGGCCUUGGAGCGCCUUCGGGAUGAAGUUGGCCGGGCCAGGCGUGAGCUUGAUGAGCUAAAUGCUCGUGCGGAGGCUCAGAUUUUAGAGGGGAACGAUGCUCUGACUAAAGUUCCUACUUUUGAGGCUCAACUGUGCUUAGCACACGACAACGCUUUGGUUCAGACAGAAAUGAUUACGAAGCUCGAGUUUAAGCUUUUGAAGGUCAGGGCUGAAAUCGUUGAUGCCCGAGCUGAAGCAGCAAUAAGCCAAACUAAGGAUGACCAGGAGAUGGCGAACUAUUCAUAGGAUGCUGCCGAUUCUCAAGCUGAGCUGAGAAGGAUCCUCGACUGCGAAGAGAGUUUUGAAGAAUACGCUCACUGUAAAUCUCAAAGAAAGACCCUCGAGGAAAUCUGUUGGCACAAGCGAGGGUGGAAGAGCGUGAUGCUCGGUUGCUUUUGCCCGGUGCUAAACAAAGCGAAGAUGAGGCCGGCAAGCCGUAGCCCCCAGGGGAGGCAUAGAUUUUGCUAUCUACAUGUAGCAUUUUCAAAGCAAGUUUGUAGAUGGAGAUUGUGUUCUUUCGCAUAUAUGUAUAAAAGAAAACCUUGCUACUUUA